rnacentral:rRNA from 1 species
GUGCCAGCCGCCGCGGUAAUACGGAGGAUCCAAGCGUUAUCCGGAAUCAUUGGGUUUAAAGGGUCCGUAGGCGGGACAAUAAGUCAGUGGUGAAAGUCUGUGGCUCAACCAUAGAAUUGCCAUUGAUACUGUUGUCCUUGAGUUACUGUGAAGUGGUUGGAAUAUGUAGUGUAGCGGUGAAAUGCAUAGAUAUUACAUAGAACACCGAUUGCGAAGGCAGAUCACUAACAGUACACUGACGCUGAUGGACGAAAGCGUAGGUAGCGAACAGGAUUAGAAACCCCAGUAGUCC